CGCGGCCUAUCAGCUUGUUGGUGAGGUAACGGCUCACCAAGGCAUCGACGGGUAGCUGGUCUGAGAGGACGGUCAGCCACACUGGGACUGAGACACGGCCCAGACUCCUACGGGAGGCAGCAGUGGGGAAUCUUGCGCGAUGGGCGAAAGCCUGACGCAGCCACGCCGCGUGAGGGAUGAAGGCUUUCGGGUUGUAAACCUCUUUCAGCAGGGACGAAAAUGACGGUACCUGCAGAAGAAGGUCCGGCCAACUACGUGCCAGCAGCCGCGGUAACACGUAGGGACCGAGCGUUGUCCGGAUUUAUUGGGCGUAAAGAGCUCGUAGGCGGUUCAGUAAGUCAGGUGUGAAAGUCCAAGGCUCAACCUUGGAACGCCACUUGAUACUGCUGUGACUAGAGUCCGGUAGAGGAGUGUGGAAUUCCUGGUGUAGCGGUGAAAUGCGCAGAUAUCAGGAGGAACACCGACGGCGAAGGCAGCACUCUGGGCCGGUACUGACGCUGAGGAGCGAAAGCAUGGGGAGCGAACAGGAUUAGAUACCCUGGUAGUCCAUGCCGUAAACGUUGGGCACUAGGUGUGGGGCCUUAUCAACGGGUUCCGUGCCGUAGCUAACGCAUUAAGUGCCCCGCCUGGGGAGUACGG
rnacentral:rRNA from 1 species